GACGAACGCUGGCGGCGUGCCUAAUACAUGCAAGUCGAACGCACAGUUUAUACCGUAGCUUGCUACACCAUAGACUGUGAGUUGCGAACGGGUGAGUAACGCGUAGGUAACCUGCCUGGUAGCGGGGGAUAACUAUUGGAAACGAUAGCUAAUACCGCAUAAUAUUGAUUAUUGCAUGAUAAUUAAUUGAAAGGUGCAAUUGCACCACUACCAGAUGGACCUGCGUUGUAUUAGCUAGUAGGUGAGGUAACGGCUCACCUAGGCGACGAUACAUAGCCGACCUGAGAGGGUGAUCGGCCACACUGGGACUGAGACACGGCCCAGACUCCUACGGGAGGCAGCAGUAGGGAAUCUUCGGCAAUGGACGAAAGUCUGACCGAGCAACGCCGCGUGAGUGAAGAAGGUUUUCGGAUCGUAAAGCUCUGUUGUAAGAGAAGAACGGGUGUGAGAGUGGAAAGUUCACACUGUGACGGUAUCUUACCAGAAAGGGACGGCUAACUACGU
rnacentral:rRNA from 1 species